UACAGAGGUCCCAAGCGUUGUUCGGAUUCACUGGGCGUAAAGGGUGCGUAGGCGGUUAGGUAAGUCUGAUGUGAAAUCUCUGGGCUCAACCCAGAAACUGCAUUGGAUACUAUCUAGCUAGAGGAGUGGAGGGGGGACUGGAAUACUUGGUGUAGCAGUGAAAUGCGUAGAUAUCAAGUAGAACACCAGUGGCGAAGGCGAGUCCCUGGACACUUCCUGACACUGAGGCACGAAAGCUAGGGGAGCAAACAGG
rnacentral:rRNA from 1 species